ensembl:lncRNA
UAAAGACCUCAAAGUAUUUAAAGAUGGCGGCCCCUCCCCCCUUUUCGGAAAUGUUCCAGCGCUUGAUUUUUGCAUGACGUUACCAUGUAGUAUAUCAGUUCAGCAGAACGUUACAUGUAUUUCAGAUGUCCUUAUCACGUUCCACAUCUAAGCAUUUCACCUGAACAAAUAUAUGCGUCAAAUACCGUUUUCACCCGAGUUACGUAACCUGCUUUGAGUCUUGCUGAGCGUGAAGAACCACAUUCCAACAUUUCAGUCACGAACGAGUGCAGUCUUAAUGCUCUCCUCUCGAGUUGUGCGUAUUUCAGCCUGUAAAUGAGCCUUGAGUGUUUGUAACGUGCCACUGAUUACUGAUUACCGAAGAAAUUCUCACAAGCCACGUGUCGACGUCGUCGUCAUCCGAACCUGCGUUCACGUUACAAGCCUUACUGCUCAAAUCCACCUCGUUUUAUUCCACCUUAAAGAUUCACAUGCGUGUUCGUAUUGUAAGUGACCUGUAGGUUAUGUGUGUCUCCUGAGGACCCCAAGUUCCGGUGUUGAGCUAGCUAGCUAACUUAUUAAUAUAUCACUACUUCAUUUUUUUGUUUGUUUUUAAACAACACUAUCUUGCUGAGGGAUAACGGUUAGCUAAACGAAAAUUCAUUGUAAAAUGUUUUCAUGAAACUCUUUACAAAAGUAUGUUAGCUUUCUAAUAAAAAAAAAAUAUGCUAGCUAGCAUUAUGAGACACUUAGCAAUGUUAGGUAAACAUGAACAGCUAGCUAGCUAGCUAGAAACAACAAAUGAAAUGCAGUUAGCUGGCUAGCAUUACACUGAGGCGCUGUCAGUGGAGUGGCUAAACAUGGCGUUAAAAAAAAUAAGAUGUUACAUGUGUUUAGCUAGCGAAAUGUGAAGCUAGAUAGCUAAAGUUACAUCAUAAUUAGCUAGUUAUCUACGACAGUAAUGUAUAGCUAUUGCUUUAGGCUUUAGAUGUAACGCUGGUUUAUUUAGUAUAUUACACUGUUAUUUUUUUUAGACUGAUGAUCGCUAGUAAUUGAAAUUCAUUCCAAAAUGUUUACUAAAGUAAGCCAGCUUGCAUUAGCCUGCUAAUAAAUCAGCUCGCCAGCCAUUAAAGUAUCUUAGCUAAACAUAAAGAGCUAGUAGUGUUAGCUAGAAACAAGGUCUGAAACAUAGUUAGCUGGAUAGCAUUACACUGAGGGGUUCUUGAUGGAGUAGCUAACUGAGAAGCUAGCUAGCUAUUUCUCUCGCUAGCACGUAGCUGUUAAGCGUCCUAUAGAGACAGUGUAAAGGGCAAUGUCACGUUUCUGUCCGACGAAUUACUGAGAAAAGACUCCAGCUUGCUAAAAUGACGCCAUAAUUAGUUAGCUAUCUCGUUCUGGUAAUGUAUAGCUAGUUCUGCCAACACUUUCCAUUGAAAGGAAAUCACAAUAGAAACACAGUGAUAGCUCUCUUCAUCCAACUCGUAGUUUAUUGAUUUCAAAUAUUUUUUAUUUAUUCAUUCUAUUCUGGAACGCGUGGAAUCCCGUUCCCGCCCUCGGAGGAAACUAAAUAAAUAAAUAAAUAAGGCGGUUUAUAGGUUUUACGUCUCACGGUUGCGACUUUGUUUCUCACGGUUGCGACUCUCUAUCGCAUUACCGGCUUUAUUUCCCGCAAUUUCUUUUCCGAUGACAUUCUUUCGGAAUUGCGAGAUUUAAACUCGUAACUGCGGGGAAAAUGUCAAAAUUGCGAGGGGAAAAAAAAAUACAGAAUUGUGAGAUUUAAACUCUAAAUUGUGACAAAGCAAAUCAGAACUGCGAGAUUCAAGCUCAAAAUUGCGAGAAAGUAAAGCAGAAUUGCGAGAUUUCAACUCGUAAAUGCGGGAAAUAAAGUCGCAAUGACCUUUUUAUUCAUUAUUAUUUUUCACUGUAGUCGAAACGGGGUUUCCGUAGCAACAUGAUCAUUGGGACCACUUCAGGGAUGUAACGUGAACGGCUUCACGGAUGUAUUCUUCAGACAUUAUGUCGCGCCACUUCACCAGCAGUCCCGCUCGUCCGUGUCCGUCGGUCCUACAAUUUAGCUUUAAAGUCUAACGUCGUGUCCGCGUGGACGGGUUACACGUUUAUCCCAACAUUCUAAUAGAAACCUCGUGUCUCUGGGACCACCGUAACAACACAAGAACAGGCACUAUUAAAUACACAACAAAGUAAAACAAUGCAGGAACUUAUUCUAUUAUACGUUAGAUAAACACCACGUAUACACGUACGCGGAAGGACGGGCACGUUUUAUGGCAUUUUUAAAUGUAGAUGCUUUACUCGAGGUUGUGAGAUUCAGUGCUUUAAUGCCGGCAUUUAAAUCCAUUUAUUUGAACUAUAAUAUAAACGAAACAUAUCAAAUAUGCGCACAUUUAAGAAUGUAAAUCUAAUCUAAAAGCUGUCAGGAAGUGAAGCUUGCUCCUGCAUGUAAUGAAAUGGCUUUGUGCUGUACCGUAUUGUGUCGCGUUGUGUUGAAUUAUAUUGUACGGCAUGCGUAUACAAUAAAACGAGUGUGAACUCUACGGAAUUGUGUUUUUC